rnacentral:rRNA from 1 species
CCUACGGGUGGCAGCAGUGGGGAAUAUUGCACAAUGGGGGAAACCCUGAUGCAGCGACGCCGCGUGAGUGAAGAAGGUAUUCGGUAUGUAAAGCUCUAUCAGCAGGGAAGAAAAUGAUGGUACCUGAUUAAGAAUCAGCGUCUAACUACGAGCCAGAAGCCGCGGGAAUACGCAGGGGGCAAGAGUGAUCUGGAGUUACUGGGUGUAAUGGGGGGGUAGUCGGCAGCUCAAGUAUGGAGUGAAAUGCCGGGGCUUAACCCCGGAACUGCGUGGGAAACUGGGAAGCGAGAGUGGAGGAGAGGUAAGUGGAAUGCGUAGUGUAGCGGUGAAAUGCGUAGAUAUUGGGAGGAACACCAGUGGCGAAGGCGGCUUACUGGACUGUAACUGACGUUGAGGCACGAAAGCGUGGGGAGCGAACAGGAUUAGAUACCCCAGUAGUC